rnacentral:rRNA from 1 species
GAUCAUGGCUCAGGAUGAACGCUAGCGACAGGCUUAACACAUGCAAGUCGAGGGGCAGCAUAGAAGUAGCAAUACUUCGGUGGCGACCGGCGCACGGGUGAGUAACGCGUAUGCAACCUACCUAUCAGAGGGGAAUAACCCGGCGAAAGUCGGACUAAUACCGCAUAAAACAGGGGCACCGCAUGGUGAUAUUUGUUAAAGAAAUUCGCUGAUAGAUGGGCAUGCGUUCCAUUAGGUAGUUGGUGAGGUAACGGCUCACCAAGCCGACGAUGGAUAGGGAACUGAGAGGUUGGUCCCCCACACUGGUACUGAGACACGGACCAGACUCCUACGGGAGGCAGCAGUGAGGAAUAUUGGUCAAUGGGCGGGAGCCUGAACCAGCCAAGUCGCGUAGGAAGGAAGAAGGAUCUAUGGUUACGUAAACUUCUUUGCAGGGGAAUAAAGUGCAGGACGUGUCCUGUUUUGUAUGUACCCUGAGAAUAAGGAUCGGCUAACUCCGUGCCAGCCGCCGC